GGGGCCGUAGCUCAGCUGGGAGAGCGCGUCGUUCGCAAUGACGAGGUCAGGGGUUCGAUUCCCCUCGGCUCCACCA
rnacentral:tRNA from 1 species